CAACAUGCAGCUACUUGUACACCUUUCUACUCAUAGGGAGCACUCAGUAGAGUAAUAUUCAAAAUAAAGUCUUGUUGUUCCAUUUUUCAGAUCUAGUUUAGAGAGCUUAUGUUUGUAGAAAUGUUCCACUUUCUGCUUGUAGUAUUCUCUUUAUUUUGUUGAGCGAGAAGCCCUAAACCCAGAGGACUGUGUUGUUCCAGGAUUCUAAGGCCUAUUCAGGGAUCCUCCCCUGUAAGAUCAGGGACUUGGAACAGGGCUGCCAAACAUGCAACCAAAGCCUCUGAAGUUCGUCCAAAGACAGCACCAAACCUGAGCAAAGACAAAGGCAAACCUGUGAAAGCAACAUCUGGGCCCAAGACUGCCAGAAGAAGCCUGUAUCCAACUGUCAGUACAAUGCCAGCAAAAGGAACUUUGAAGAACACUAAAUAUAGGAAAUAAAGACUACAACAAGUAAAAGAUUUAGUGCUGCAAUCUUAGAAGAAAAAUUAUCUUGAUUGUUGUCAGUUUUGUUUGUAAUUUUUUUGACAAUCUUAUCUGAGGCAUUUUCUAUAGCAAUGUUAUUCCUGUUGUUGACAUACUAGUGUAAUUGAAGUGUAACUACCUUUUUAUGCUAAGAAGUUAGUAGGACGAGAGUUAAAGCAAAUGAAUUCUGUCACUUUUAUUGCGUAGAAAGCAAUACUAGUAGUAUUCACAGUUUCUCACUUUCGGGGUACACAAUAUACAUAUCACUGGAUGUUCUUAUCAUGCAAUGUUGUCUCACCUGCAAAGUGACGAAUGUUUAAGUUAAAACUUGUGUGUUUUACUGUAUCAUGAAUGUGUAAUGAAAUGUCUACAUGUAAGGUCAACAUGGUGAUGGUGACUAAAUAAAGAGACUUAUUGCACAUAUGCUCUGCUUGAAUGCAGCACCGUUAACAUGAUCUCUUCUUUGU